CCAACUUCUGUGUCUCUGUGCAUUUCUUUCCAUGAUUCCAGAACAUUUGUUUCCCUGAUCGGGAAUCAGGAAAGAAUUGGCCCUUUUGGGCAUUUACCUGAAUUCAACUGGAGGGAGUGGCUCUUUGCCUCCUCCAAGGGAAUGGCAUGCCCCUGGAACUAAUUUCCAAGGCUCCCCAACAGGACAUGGAGACCCGCCGUCCAGUUGUGGAUCACCCAAACCCAAGACAGAAGACAACAGGAAGAGUGCUGCUGGUGUUGGUGUCUCAUCUGUCUCUUUCCUUUGCUGGAUGGGAGCAGCUUCUGGGAAGAUGGGGUUCGUCAUUCUGGAUAUACAAUAACCACAAAGGAUGGGGUGAUCCUAGCCCAGGACCUUCCUUUUGGCUGCUCUGAACUAUGGGCUGAGCUCUGGACACUCAUACAGGCAUUCUGAUGGACAAAGGGUAAAAAGGUGCUCUGGAUUACAAGCUUGGUUCCAGAACUAAUCAUGCUAGCAAACUAAGGAAACAGAAGUGAAUUCAGGACUCCAGAUCAGCAGCAUCAAUACCCAGAAGCAGGAAAAAACCAUACAUCCCAGAAAUGGAUCAAAUGUUCUCCACUGCAAAAAGCCAAGAACUAAGAAAAUAACAUGGAAAUCUGCAUGGAGUUUAGUUUGUUAGUUGCAGCCAUUUCUAUAACUUCUGUUCUCUAUUGAAUUUUUCCUGAUAUUAAAGAUAAAUUGGAAAGAAUACUUAGUCCUAUUUUAGUCAAUUUAUGUUUUUCUUAUUCACCAGAGAGGGGCUGUCUUAAGUUACUUUCUUGUUUCUGAGACAAAAUACUCAACUCCCACAGUUGAAGGAGCAGAAGUUUAUCUAAGCUCACAGUUUAUAAAGGUUUCAGUCCAUAGCUGGCUCUGAG
rnacentral:lncRNA from 1 species